rnacentral:tRNA from 1 species
GCCUAGGUGGCUCAGUCGGUUGAGCGUCUGACUUCGGCUCAGGUCAUGAUCUCACGGUUCGUGGGUUCGAGCCCCACAUCGGGCU